rnacentral:rRNA from 1 species
UACAGAGGUGGCAAGCGUUGUUCGGAAUUACUGGGCGUAAAGGGCGCGUAGGCGGUCUUGUAAGUCUUGUGUGAAAUCCCUCGGCUCAACUGAGGAACCGCACGGGAAACUGCUUGACUUGAGUUCGGGAGAGGGACGCGGAAUUCCGGGUGUAGCGGUGAAAUGCGUAGAUAUCCGGAGGAACACCGGUGGCGAAGGCGGCGUCCUAGACCGACACUGACGCUGAGGCGCGAAAGCUAGGGGAGCAAACGGG